rnacentral:rRNA from 1 species
GAUGAACGCUAGCGAUAGGCUUAACACAUGCAAGUCGAGGGGCAGCAUGGUCUUAGCUUGCUAAGACUGAUGGCGACCGGCGCACGGGUGCGUAACGCGUAUGCAACUUGCCUCACAGAGGGGGAUAACCCGUCGAAAGACGGACUAAUACCGCGUACACUCUAUUUUGGGCAUCCAAGGUAGAGGAAAUGAAAUUCGCUGUGAGAUAGGCAUGCGUCCCAUUAGCUAGUUGGUGAGGUAACGGCUCACCAAGGCGACGAUGGGUAGGGGAACUGAGAGGUUGAACCCCCACACUGGUACUGAGACACGGACCAGACUCCUACGGGAGGCAGCAGUGAGGAAUAUUGGUCAAUGGGCGAGAGCCUGAACCAGCCAAGUCGCGUGAAGGAUGACUGUCUUAUGGAUUGUAAACUUCUUUUGUAGGGGAAUAAAGAGGGGCACGUGUGCCACAGUGAAUGUACCCUACGAAUAAGCAUCGGCUAACUCCGUG